rnacentral:lncRNA from 1 species
CAGAAUCUCUGGUAGAGAAAACAUGAGCUUUGGAAUCACACAGUACUGGGUUCAAGUUCUAGCAUUUGCAUGUACCAGCUUGAGUGACCAUGGGUGUGCUGUGCUCCCUAGGUCUGAAGGCCUUGUGAAUGACUGACUUCACCCUUCUGCACACUGAUCUUCCUAACAAUGUUCCAAAAGGUGUCUACUGAUUCACGGGAAAGUCUUGACCACUGCCAGGAUGAUACAGUUCUUUGUAGAUCCCACUAUGGCUGAGAUUGACUGAGAAAUCCACAAUGUUGAAAACGAGAACACUAAGCUCCUUCUCUGAGACACUGACUCUGGCCAGUCCAACUUACUCAGAGAUAAGAUGAGACCAAAACACGUAAUGAAUGAACAAGAAAUGAUCCUUUGGAAUUUUAGUUAUUUGAGCAGCUUAGUUUAGAGAAUUCCUUCUUCCUUUUCAGACAAGCAGUUCACACGCCCUAAGUGGAAAACCUGGAACCAGAGUGAAGACUAGAUAAGGCAGCUUUUCUCCUGAGGGAGGGAGGAGGGGGCAUGAUGAGGCCAUGUA